rnacentral:misc_RNA from 1 species
GGAAAACUCUGAUUUCUGUUAUCACAAUUCCCGCUAUGUUACAGAAGAUAUUCAAUCUCUUUAUUUUAUGAGGUUACGGAUAACUUAAGAUCCGACUGGAUGGCUCAAGCCUCAAAUGCAACAGGAAAUUACUCAAAGAAAUCCAAAUUCUACAUGGCACAAACUUAAUUGGGUCAAUAGGUAUGACAACUCAAUUGGGUUUUAAGACAUUAAACUUAAUUUCUUCACAGGAACAAUUGCCUUCAAGAGGAACAAAUCCAUACAACAGGAACAAUUUCCUUCAAGAGUUUUCAAGCAUUCAACAUGACAAAAUUUAUAAUUUUCUUUAUCUUCACAAAAUAAUUUUGCUUGCAAUUUUGCAUAGUAGCAAUGAGAAAGUAGAAAUUAGCAAAUUGCAUAACCUCAAGCAGGCCUUGUCACAAAACUGGUUGACUGACUCUAUUUCACAUUCAAAUUUACAAACAUCUAUCAGCCAGCAACAAUUACAAGAUUGUUUGUUCCCCUAAUUCUUGACCAGCCAUCCCUUCCCUCAGCACCCUUUCAAAGAAUUCUUCCAGAGUGUCCUUCCCAUAACUUGGUGUUUUCUCAGCACUAUAGUCUCCAGUCUCAGGAUCCAAUACCAGCAUGCUCUCAGCUGCAUAAUACCUUCCGAUUUUACCAAACUCAGCUGCGUCUUCCAUUGAAGGAAAAACCUUAAAAAGGGAAUCAAGAAUGCCAAUAGCAAAAUCCAUUAUCCCAAUAGGAACUUUCAGGAACUUUGGUUCCUUUCCCAAUAGUCUAAAUAGCAGUUCCCCUUGUUCCAAUGGUGUCAAUGCCUUGCCUGGCCCUCCAAUUGGCAAAACCUGAUUAAUUUUAUCCUCACUCAACACACAAUCUGCAAUAAAUGAAGCCAAAUCUGGCUCACUAAUCGGUUUACAAGCACACAACUUCCCAUCUCCAAACAUCACAUAAGGUUUCCCAUCUUUUACCAACUCAACUUGACCCCCUAAGCUCUUGAAGAAUGCAGUUGGCCGCACAAUACUGUAAGUGAAUCCAUCAUCCUCUUCAGCUUCUUUCAUCAAUUUUGCCUCAAAUUUCAGCUUCGCUCGCUGAAAUUCAAGAACGGGCUUUUGCACACAUAUUGCAGAAAGUAGUACAAAAUGCUGAGCUCCAUGAUUUCUUCCAGCAAUAAGACUAUUCUUUGUUGCCUCAUAAUCAAUCUUCCACGAAUCCUUAACACCACCAGUACGGCUAGCCAGACAUGACACUACAACAUCUAUUGAAACACCUAAAUCAUUCACUGAUUUCUCCAAAGAAUCUAAAUUGGUCACAUCAGAGAAGCAAACAUUGGCUCCUUGCAACUGAUUCAAGGUCUCUUCUUUACUGUUUCUACCUCUAAUCCCACUCCUUUCUCUAGCAAUGGCUAUAACAUUAAACCCUCUAUUAACCAACUCUUUAACCACAAAAUUUCCAAUGUACCCAGUUGAACCCACCACCAAAAUGUUAAUAUCUUUAGGAUUCUUGCUUCUAAACGAAGACUGGGUUGUUUCAACAGUAGUUGUUGAAGCAUUGAUGAGAUUGAAUCUUUGUCUAUUAAACUUAAAGGGUAAUGAUAAAUUUAAAGAAGGUGAUAAAUAACAGGAAAGAGAGGUUACCUGGAUUUGAUUGAUGAACUGAGAAGAGAAGCGAGUUUUAUAGCUUUGAAACUUGGGUGAAUGGAGAGUGAACAGAUUGGAAGAGAAACAAAGGGACAUUUUUUUUCUUCCUAUUUGUUACCUUUUAGAUCAAGAUGCUUAGCGUGGGGAAGAGCGAAAAUAUCGUUGUGGGUGUCAAGGGAAAAUCAAGGAGAAAAGAAAAGAAAGCAAAGGAAAAUGGUUGGCGGGUUAUGGAGGAGAGAAGGCUUUCAUGGCGGUCGUUUGCCGUUCUAUCAAAGUAGAAUCCAAAAAC